rnacentral:tRNA from 1 species
CAUCCGCGUGGCCGGGGAGAGCGCGCGGUUCGGCGUGUCCGAGGCGCGGUGGGGACUGUUCCCGAUGGGCGGUUCGGCGGUGCGGCUGCCGCGGCAGAUCCC